AACGAACGCUGGCGGCAUGCUUAACACAUGCAAUGCGAACGAGACCUUCGGGUCUAGUGGCGCACGGGUGCGUAACGCGUGGGAAUCUGCCCUUUGCUAAGGAAUAACUCAGAGGAAUUUGUGCUAAUACCGUAUAAUGUCUACGGACCAAAGAUUUAUCGUCAAAGGAUGAGCCCGCGUAAGAUUAGCUUGUUGGUGGGGUAAAGGCCUACCAAGGCGACGAUCUUUAGCUGGUCUGAGAGGAUGAUCAGCCACACUGGGACUGAGACACGGCCCAGACUCCUACGGGAGGCAGCAGUGGGGAAUAUUGGACAAUGGGCGAAAGCCUGAUCCAGCAAUGCCGCGUGAGUGAUGAAGGCCUUAGGGUUGAAAAGCUCUUUUACCAGGGAUGAUAAUGACAGUACCUGGAGAAUAAGCUCCGGCUAACUUCGUGCCAGCAGCCGCAGUAA
rnacentral:rRNA from 1 species